GACGAACGCUGGCGGCGUGCCUAAUACAUGCAGGUAGAACGCACAGUUUAUACCGUAGCUUGCUACACCAUAGACUGUGAGUUGCGAACGGGUGAGUAACGCGUAGGUAACCUGCCUGGUAGCGGGGGAUAACUAUUGGAAACGAUAGCUAAUACCGCAUAAUAUUAAUUAUUGCAUGAUAAUUAAUUGAAAGGUGCAAUUGCACCACUACCAGAUGGACCUGCGUUGUAUUAGCUAGUAGGUGAGGUAACGGCUCACCUAGGCGACGAUACAUAGCCGACCUGAGAGGGUGAUCGGCCACACUGGGACUGAGACACGGCCCAGACUCCUACGGGAGGCAGCAGUAGGGAAUCUUCGGCAAUAGACGAAAGUCUGACCGAGCAACGCCGCGUGAGUGAAGAAGGUUUUCGGAUCGUAAAGCUCUGUUGUAAGAGAAGAACGGGUGUGAGAGUGGAAAGUUCACACUGUGACGGUAUCUUACCAGAAAGGGACGGCUAACUACGUG
rnacentral:rRNA from 1 species